GUAAAUUAGAAAGAGAAAAAAAAAUUUCCCAAAGUUUAAUAAAACAAAGUAAACUAUUGCUGUUUGUGCUAGCUAGUCAUGAAAUACUUUUAGCUAAAAUAGGAGAGCCUUCAGCAGUCAAUCUGUUAUUUAACAACAGCUGUUUGUGAUCAGUGCCAGUGGAAAUCACUUGUUUUCACCCAUUCACGAAGAACAGGCUGGUAAAAGGGAUUCCAGGAAUAGGUACAGUCUUUCACACACAGUUUAAAUAUAUCAUAUUGUAAGUUGGUGCCAUUUACAAUGUAACAUAAUUGUGAUUUCUAAUGAGAUUUUUCCAGAAAUCAGACAUAGAAUAAAAUUAGGAUUGCUCAUAGAAUGAUCUGGGUUGGAAGGGAUCUUAACACCAUCUAGGUCCAACCCUCCUGCCAUGCAGGCACACCCAGCCACCUUCCACUAGCCCAGGUUUUUCAAAGCACCAUCCAAUGUGGCCUUGAAUAAUUCCAGGGAUGGGGCAUUCACAACUUCUCUGAGCAACCUGUUCCAGUGCCUCACCACCAUCACAGAAAAGAGUUUGUUCCUUAUCAAUCUAAAGCUGCCCCCUUUCAGUCUGAAGCCACUACCCCUUGUCCCUAUUGCUACACGCCUUUGAUAGUUGUUUUAUAAAAGAACUGAGGAAAUCAGAGCCCUAACUAUAUUUCUAACCCCUUAGAAAGUAUAUAGAAAUUUUCACUGCUGUGCUUCGGUUUCAAUCCUGUCUUCAUCAACUAACACUUUUUUGUCAAACUGAGUGUAUAGAAUUGGAAAUAAGAAGACAAGAAAUGCCAUUCUCAGUUGGAUCCAAUAUCGCUCUGUCUCACUACUAGCUAACAGGAGCAGAUGAUGUUCAGGCAGAUCCUUGGAUCCUGUUCCUUCUCUGUGGUCCCAUUCCCUUGGGCUCUCCAGCAUUCAGAAUUGGUGCAUUUGGAAGAGUAUUGCCCUGCUUAAUUCUUUACUAUCCAUUGAGAAUCUGUCUCACAGUCUUAAGAAACAAGUUGUUCACAAGAAGUUUUUUACAAACUAAAAUAUCAUCACUGGCAGCCUCAGUGGUGACAAAAGUGCCAGAGCCUAACUUGGCAUGCCUUCAGUUGAGUACUUCUUCCUUCCACAGAGACUCAAAGCAAUCCUACUGUCAUAUGCAUGCAGUAGUAGCUGCACAUCCUCUGUAUUUCAGAUCUAGCAGCCACACCUCAGACACAUCAGAUGAAUUAUACCUGUUGCUCUCCAUCGAUUAUUACAGACACUUGGAAUGGUUGGCAGGUAUAUUUGUCUACACAGUAGAUGACUAAAUGUGGAUGAGAUAAAUUCCCACUUGCUAAGCCUAGAUGUAAACUCCUACGCUUAAAAAAAACUGGUCUGAAAGCUGGAUGAAUUUCCCUCUUCGCUCAAAUGAGUUUUGGUAACAUCAUCUUGCUGAUUUUAUGAAACUGGUAUUGCUGUGCCUACAUGAAUGCAUCCUGUUUGUAAAGUGUUUCACGAUAUUGGCAGUUCUAACAAACAUGUAAGUCACUUGAAGCUUUUUUGAAAAUGUAGAAUAAAGUUUUGCUGGUUUGAAUCCCUGAAGGUGAGUGUUGCCAAAGAGUUCAAAAGCAUUUUUCUUCCUGUUGUUACUAGCAUUUAUGGCCUGUGCACUGAAAAUUUCUAAUUAUUGGAAAGAUUCAAGAGAGUCAGGAAAAUACCCUCUCAUUUUUAUGCCUUUGUGAAGUUGCUUUUCUGUAUUGUGUAAAAAGAACCUGUUUCAUUUAAAAGCUUCUCUUUUUCUUCAUUCACAUUCUUUAAAAGCUUUUCUGUAUUGUAAUUUUAAAAAUGAAUGUGGUUCUAUUCAAAUAAAAGUUUACUCUUAGUGGCAUUUAUGCUUCAUAUGAUAGAGCACCUUCAUUCACUUAGUUAUACCUAGGCAGUCAGCAGUGUUAUGAACUGUUUCUUUUUUACUAAGCAGUAUGCAGAUCUCUGGCAUAUUCCACAAAGGAAAGGGUGGGUUAUUUUAAAGCCUUUAUCUGAUUUGAUCAUAAAGCAUGGGUACUAGCCUAGUGCUUUAUGACAUGCUCAACUAUGAUUAAUAAUUUUAACUAUACUGGUUCCCCCAUAAGAUCAAUAGUAUAGAAUUUUUCCAGUCACUAUUUCAAUGUAUUUUAAUUGAAAUUGAUUUCCUAUAAAAUAAUAAAUUGAAGUGUAUUAACAAUGGUCUUGUGGUCCUUUACGUUCAAGUUCAGAGUUCUAAGAAAAUAUGGAACAGUUUUUGAAAAAUACAUGAUAUACCUCUAUACAGCAUAAGUAUUCAUGAAGCACCUGUAAUUUUUUGUGUUAAUUCCAGUAGACAACAACAUAAAUAAAGCAACCUUAAUUUGAAACAGGAAUGUGAAUGAAAAUGUGUCAGAGAUUUGUUGUUUUUAAAACAACUUACUUCUCUGUUGGCAGUUCAGCUACAGCUCUACUGUAUGAUCUUAAAAUUGAAAAUAUUUUUAUCAGUAAAAGUGCAUGCCAGUCACAUGAAUUAUUAGAAGUUACCUGUACAAAGAAAAGAUACAUUGAGGAAACCUGCAGUGAGCAGCUCUGUAAGAACUUCAGUUUUUCCAAAGGUAUCACCUGGAGGGCAUUGGGCCAAUCUUUGACUAUUUUUCUCAAGGUCAGAGUGAUAGUUGAGUUUUAGAUAAUUUGUACUUGGCAAUACCACAGUUCUGAAGCUACUCAAUCCCACUAAGUUUUCAUCCACAUCUUAGAGUUUAUUCUUGGUUAAGUUUAUCCACAUUGUUGGAAUAACUUGUUUACGUUUAUGUUUUACUUGUUUGGCUUAAUCAGUUGCUUCCACCUGAAGACAAUCUGAUUAGAAAAUAACCAGGCUCGGGAAUGGCACAGUGUGUUAUAUGCAGCCAGCCUGGUAUAAUAUGUCAGGACUCUGACUUGGCAUACUUGUUCAGCCACACAAGAAGGCUGGAGCUCUUUCCUCAGGAACUGUAGAGAUAAGCAAGUUAGAGAUUUUGUAUGUGAGCAAAAAGGCGUGUCAAAGUUCCCUUGCAAGCUUGAGCACAGUCUGAAGGCAUGUACAUUGACAUGGUCUUGGAAUUUUGAGUCCUCUCCACUAGAAAGAAGAUUCACAUCUUCCCAGUCCAGUUAUCUGGCACACCCAGCUGCCAUCACCUGGCAUUUCAUGAAAUGAGAUGGAGUUGAAGCAGCUCCAACACCUGGACCUGGAAACAAGUAAUUUUGUCAUAUUCUUUCUUUAGUGAGACCAGUUAAGAGGCUUACUGCUGGUAGCAUCAGUCAGCACACUCUUGUUUUUCCGCAUUGAAAGAGCACCGUUGUGUAGGACUUUCAGGAGCUGGAUUUUGAGAGAAAGAUCUGAGAGCAAAAAAGUUCUUGCACAGCAAAAAGAGAUUCUUACUCACUGAUUUUGCCUUCUUCAGUGAUUCAAAGCUUCUGCUCUUAAAGUGUACUCUCCAAAGUCCUCUAAAUCCUCCAAAGUCCUGUGGUUUUUGUUUUCUUUCCCCUUUGGCAUAUGUCAGAGAUAGAAAUGGAGAAAGAAUGGUAAUCACAUUUUCUUCAUUCUUUCAAGUGUUAGGUAAUUCUUUAGGAAUAAAGAGGAAUGCCUUCUUUCUUACUCUUAUUUCUUUUGGUAUUCAUUCCUUUAAGAACUCAUGAGGAACUGAGGAUUGUUAUUAAAGCUGGACCAAGAGAUGAAUAUCUCCUGCUCUAGCUUUAUUUAUUUCCCUGCAGUCUAAGUGUUUAGAGGGCUGAUUAGACUACAACUGUCUGCUGAAGAAUUUCUUUACUUCGUACCAGAGGGUGUAGCUAUGUGAAACACUUUUCAGCAGUUCCUUGUAAUUAUUUGUCAUAAGGUGCCAAGAUGGUCCAGCUGUAUUUAAUGAGUAUUUAAAGAAUGUUGGAUGGUGGAAGGAGCAAUCAUCUUAGACAAUGGACCAGCUUUUAAAAGUGUCAGGCAAUUAAGGAUGCAGAUAAACCUUUGAAAAUCCCCUGUAUCUCAACAGUUAUAAUUCUCAGUCUAAACUUAAAAGACUUAGAAGCAAACAAACGGUAUUUCAGAUGAAAGAGGUAGGAGAGAGGAAGGGAAGAAUACUUCUACCUCUAAAGCUCCACUGAUAAAUCAGUUGUCACCUGGGUAGGUUCUGAACAGAUCUUUCUCUAGAUUCCAGAGCUGCUUUAAUGUCCAUCUGCGUGGCUCCCAUCCAUUCUGUCACAGCAGUUGACUGUGACACUAACCACGGAUAUUAUUGACUUUUGUAUGUCUCUGCUUAAACCUGGGAGGUUCUGAGGGUCAUCAAAAGGCAGCCAGCCCUUACAGCCCAUCAAGCUAAUGAAUGUCUUUUUGCUGAGAUGUAUCUUCAUACACCGAGACACCUAUGAGGUUUUUUUGUCUUUUUCUAGAAAUGUUUCCUUUAGGUGUGGAGGUUUAUCUCAGAUUGCAUAAUAAAAAUUGUGGUUUAUUUUCUCUGAAUCCUAAUAAGCUCUUUCCCAGUGAAUUAUUAUUUUUUACUGAUAUUUGCUUGCUAGAUUUGUUUGUUGAUAAGUUUUCUUUCUCCCUUCUUAAUUAUCAGCUGCUGUGAUAAGCACUAAAAUGUGUGACCAUUGCUUUGUCAGCAACCCAUGUUUUCCUUUAUUAUACUGUUACUGCUGUUCUUGACAACUUUUCGGUUCUCUCUAGUCAUGUCACUGUGGGAAUUUUACUUUACUUUUACUUUACUUCUACAUGGCUUAGCUGAUCACAGCUGAUCACAGGAUAAUUCUGGUAUGAUAAUAUGUGUUGUGCUGAUUUCUUUACUGUUUUCUUUUCAUCCAGAUGAUCGGAACCCAGUCUGUUUAAGUGAGAAAUGCAAACAGAUGCUGGGACAAGAAGAAAUCAGGGAUGUCUCUAGAAAUAAGGAGCACCUAAAGAUAGUAUCUUCCUCAGGUUUCUGCUGCUUAUAAUUAAUUUGUCUAGAGUCUGUGGGGAAGUCUUUAGCUGACUUAAAACUGAUCCUUACUCUUCGUGCACACAUUCUCUACCAGUUCUAGCACAGUAAACAAAUAGGAAGAGUAGCCACUCUACUAAGAAGAAUCUAAAUUUAUGUCUACCACCAGCUAUGAUUUGGUUUUAUUCCAACUAUCUCUCUUUAAAAAUUGGAGACCUCAGCUUUGCUCUUGGUUCUGUGUGGGCAAAUGAAAGAGUAAUACUUUAUUGCUUGCAGAGAAAUUGAAACUAGUAAAAAUGAGAACAGGAUCAACCCCAUUUUUCCUCUACAGCAUGAGACUUUAAAGCCCAUUCAAAUCAAUGAAGGGUACCAGUGACUUCGUUGACCUUUGGAUCAAAUCCAUAAACCUUUUUAUAACUUAAAAUCACAAAUACAGAAACAUAAGGGUUCAAUUCUCUAACCCAGCAGGUCGUUGUCAAAUUGAAAAAUACGAUCUCUUGCCAAUUUUAUUGUAUCAAAAAUACAAUUUUGAUAUUUUAUUAUAUUUAGAAGUUUUUUCUUAACUAUAGAAGACCUGUUUUUCAUUUGAUCUCAAAAUCUCCUUUGAUGAUGUGCACUGUCUGUGUUAUUUGCAAUCCUAAUUUCAUAAUCACUGCUGGAAAUGAAAAUAAAAGCUGCACUUUUAUCUUAUUCUUUAUAGUCAUGCUCUAUGCCAAAAUGGUAUAAUCAAAGAUAAAAACAAUUAUAUUGUCUUUUAGCUUAAGCAGUUUGAAGAAGUUUGUUGCAUCUUGCCUUAUCCAGCUGAAACUUUGCUGUCCAAUUGAACUCAUUGUUCACCUUCCUCAAAUAAUCAACAAAGAACAAAACCCACCCCCAGAGGUAAUCUGUGCCCUUCUAAAACAAGUGCCCAUAAUAGGUGCAAUAUAUUGCCCUCUGGAACUUCCUGCCUCUGUCAGAUGGAGGACUUACUAUUUAAUUUGGGACACCUAACUUUAAUAGAGGAAAAGUAGGCAGUAACUUCCUACUUUUUGCUUUUCAGCAUGAAGCAGGUAACAAAUGAUGUUACCCAGUGCUAAUUUGACAGCAAACUUGCACUGCCUUAGUAUAGUAAUUUUGUUUCUUUAUCUGUAUCUGUUAGCAAAAUCUGGUUAUGCUAUGCCUUUAAAUUGCACUUCUUUUUCUGCAAGUGAUAACAUAAUCUUUCAUAUUCUAUUACUCUUUAUUAACUUUUUAAAAUUGAGCCUAAUUACUAUUCACUGGUAGUAGAAUCAAAGCAACAUUUAGGUGUUCAUAGGUGAACAUUUAAGGAGUUGCAUGUUUUGGGUUAAGGGUUUGGGAGUUGUUUUCUUAGUUGUAAUUUGAAUAAUCCUUUAGUCUGAAGCAGACAUGGAUGCAUUUUAUAUAUUGUCUUGGGAUAGGUUCAUAACUUACCUUCACUUCUGGAGUUUUUCUCAGACAUGAGUGCUUUAAUAGCUGCAGUUAGACAGAUCUUAGUCCCCUGAGUUCUUCUUUCAUCUGAAUAUCGUUAAGUCUGAUACAAAUAUUAAACACUUUUUAUUUUUUUUUUAUGAUUGUGGAUUUGUUGCCUCUGUGGAGCUGGAUCCAGUCUUAGACAGGAAGGCCAGGACCAGGCUGAGAACCCCAGAUGGAAUGCCCACUAGGAACUGAACUUUUACUUUAUAAUUCAGAAAACUUCUAGUUUCAUAUAAUUAAUUAGUGCAUAGUUUCAAUUAAAUAGAAAAGCCAGUAAAACUUAUCAAAAAUUGAAUAGUGAUGCAGAAGGGCGACUGAAAAAAACAAGCUUCUUCAUAAGUCUUUUGUUUGGGCUUUCUGUGUCUCCUUUAAAGUUCUCUUGCAUUCUCAUGCAGCUCAUUCUUUUUAUUGAAUACUAAAGCCUUUACCAUCUGCCAAAAGGUUUUAUUUUGGGGUUUCCUCUCAUGUGGGAGGGUGAUUUCCUCCUUCCCUUCAUGCUAGUUUCAUUGCUAUCUUUAGGACUCGGAGCCUACUGGAGACCUUCCUGUCUCCUUUUUAUUACACAGUCUCCUCCUUCCGUGCUGCAAGUUCCCGCUCCCAGGGGCAAAGAAGAAAACAAGAGCUGGAGCUGCCUUUUUGAGCUGCCUGGCUGAUGCCAACAGCUUUUCUUUUAAACACAGGGGUCCAGUUCCUGGAGCACAGGGCUGCUCCUCACUGAUGUUCCUGGCAUGGGUGUUUUUAGGAACAAUUCCUCUGCAAAGGCAAUGUGCAACCUCUCUGUGCUUUGGCUGCAGAGUGCAGUGGCUUCUGAAAAAAGGUGCUGUAAUCUAUAGCAUUGCUCUAAAAGCAGUUUAUCCCUCUCUAUUUGUUAGUCUUUUACCUCAGCACAUUAAUCCAACCUGUUCUGCCAUUGUUAAGACAUCUAUAGCCAUAGCCCUGUAGUUUCUUCCUCUUAUGGGAACUUUAGAUGUUUAUUUUUUCUAUGAAGGUAUUGAUUUCCUAUCUUUACCUUCCUUGUGCUGUAGAGAAAAAGAAGUGAAAUUGAAGGUAUUAUAUUUGCAGAGGGAUAGAAUUGCAUCUUUUUUUUUAAUUCCUGAGAGCAAAAUAAAGCAGAUGGCGGUCUGGGUUUUUCAGCAUAGCUCUUAAGGCUGCAGGGAAUACAGCUGUAGUGGGAUGUGAGCAUCCAGAUGUUGAGCCAUGAACACAGCAGGAGAAGGCUAUGAGCCCUGGUCAUCUACCUCCAUUUAAACCUUUGCUGUGGAGCUCUUCAGGUACCUGCCAUCAUCUCUCCUUGAAGUAGAUGCUACAUGGGAGAAACAAAGGUUCCUGCCUUUUCUCUUCAGCCUCUGCCUGCUGGGAGUGAGAGCAGUGUCUGUCUGAGGAUUGUGCAGUCCUGUUGCUGCCUGUCCUCAUUUGCUGUACAGCUGAGCCUGUGACCGGAGGCAGUGUGAAUGUGGAAGGCACAGGGAGUUGUGCUGGGUGUCAGAUCACCUCCUGAGGGCUCUGCCAGGAUCCAUAUCAACCAAAUUAUGCCUCUGUUGAGUGCAUUUCUGGCACUCCUUUUUUAUAUUUUAGUUAAUCACUGGCAUUACACCAAACUGCGUGUCAGGUAGUAAUAGGAAUGUAAUAUUAUUUUAUUUGUGAUUAGCUCAUCUCUUGGGCUCCAAGAUGUUCCAAUUUCUGUCCUUCCAUCAUCACCCAGGUUUCUUUGGAGCUCUAUCAUUUGAUUUAUUUACUCUCCCUCUGUAAUUGAAAACUUUACUGUUGAUCACCAUGAAAAAUUUUCAGUGCUUAAAAAUAAAUGGUCCAUUUUCCAUCCCUUCAGUGCGUCUAGUUUUUCUGACUGCAGGAAUCUAAUAAAAGGUUGCAAUGUGGAUGAGAAGGAUGAGGUUGAUUCAGGGUGUUACCUAAAUGCCUGAUCUACAGAGAAAAAGCAGUGCUGGGAUUUCUGUUCAGGAAAGUGCCAGAAAAACGGCCUAGUUCUUAGCACUGCCUGUUUUAAUGACAUUCAGUUCCAAACUCCAGGUACAGCAUUGCACAGAGAGGUCAGUGGUGCCCAUUUCUAACAGCAGAAUGGUGCAACAUAACAGCCUGAGAUGACAUUGUCCUGGAAACUAAGAGGACUAUGUGAAAAAAAUUCAAGCAGGAGACACAUGUAUCUUGUCAUUUAAAGAGCAAGGCUUCUGAUUAAAUGCAGGUUUCCAUGUUCCCCCUGUCACAGAUGCACACACAUGCACAUACUCUAAUUGGAUAAAACUGUAAACAGUAAAUUAAGGAUAUGAUUAAAAAUUAAACAGUCACUGCAGAAACCAUCAGUAGUAAAUGCUUAUUAACUUACACAUAACAGCAUGCUGGUGUGAUAGCUUUAAAUUGCCUGCUGAAACUGAUUUGCAGCAAAUAAGGCCAGCUUUCUAAAAGGAUAUUCCUGGGUUUCAGUAAUCAGACCCUCAACUCUGAUUGCUUGGUUUUUUUCUUCACAGUUUUUGCCAGCCUUUUUUAAGUAACUGAUAAUGUGCAUGACUUUCUUUAACUACAGUGGGUGAUGUACUUAAUCCUUUGCUUCUGCUGCUUAGCAGAAUGAGUCAGUAUGGGUCUGAUCCAGCUUUGUCCUCUCAUGCAUUGCAAGACUUCUCUGGUUUGCCUGUGUUUUUGCAGGGCUUCACCAGAGCCCCUGUCGUUCUGAGACUCACCUUGCUGGCUGUUUAAUAAGCUGGAGGGCAAAACUAAUUUAUACAAAUUCACUUGCCCUUCUGUACUAGUUUGAAAACAAACCAGUGGGAGAUUCCAAGUCAGUACUACAAUUAAAUAGGAAAAUUAAAAUAAACGCAGAAAACACUGGCUUAAAUUGACAGACUUAGGACCCAACCUGACACCUGUUUGUCAGGGUGGUGGUAGCUGACAAAUUAAAUGAUGGUUGCAGUCCUGUUGAAAUGAUAGAUGUGGUUCUGUUGAAGCAGUGAUCCUGUAGAAGGGUCUGGUCUUCCUCUGAAGGUCCAGUGGUAGUUAUGCAGCUCUUGUGCUCUGGGAAUCCAGUAAGUAAGGCUCCUCGUGGUAUUCCAAGCCUCAGAUUAUAUCCAGGUAGGAAUGCUUGGUUCCUUCCCCUGGGCAGAGCAUUUCACAAUGGGAUGAUGUGAUUUUAUGAGUCAUGCAGUGAGACUUGCUGGCCCAUUAGCAGAAGAUACCCCCUGGAGGGAGUUAUGAGGGAUGGGUCCUGGAAGAGAUAAAGAAUACUGGUGAAGAUGAAGAUAGGGAUAGAAUACAUAGGUGUGAUUACAUCUUACAUUGUAACCUAAGACACCCUCCAAGUGCUAUAUCCAUGCAUGCACACCUGGCAUCUCCCGACCAGCUCUGUCUGGCAAUGCAUGGCAGAGGCUGCAGUUUCUGGAAAGGGCACCCUUCCAACUCCAUGGGCCUUUUCUAGAUCUCAUCUCAUCUCAUCUCAUCUUGUCUCAUCUCAUCUCAUAAUAUCUGUUCCCUACUCUUGUGUGUCCUGCACAUGGAGUCCAGUGUGUUGGACGACAGGUUCUUUGGCCAUCCUGCUCUGCGACAAUUAGCAUUUUUCCAGCCAGAGCAAGGGAUUCUCACAAGAACUUUUACAGCCUUCCUUGAACGACAGCAGCUCCAUGUUAGGUUUAAGUGUUUAGGGGAAAGUUGAAACAACGUUUAAAAAUCUCUCAAAAUUGUGACUAAUCUGGAGAGGCAGAGCAAAGCAGAAUCUUUUCUAGUGAGCUGUGAUUUCUUGGAUAUUUGCUUUUCAGGUGGGUUCUGUAAUAUGGAUAUUUGACUAGUAUAUGAUAUAAAGGAAUCUUUGCGCACUUAUUUCUUACAUUCGUAUGGCUGAAACUGAGGGCUGCUCUCUCCAGAAAGCAGCUGAACUUUUUGCAUUUUAUCUGGGGCUCCUAUGUUCAUUUAAGCUGGAGACUUCCUUCCCACUUUUCUCCUUCCCACUUUUCUCCUGCCAGUCAAAAUCAAGAAAUGAAUGGGUGUUUCUUGAGUGAAAGAUAAUUAUAAUCUACCCAGUAUCAGAGGGUUGUAUAUAUCCUGUGAAAAACCCUUUAACUCUACCUUCCUAUGAGAAAGUAGCACAUCCCCUGAAUCGGUGCCAAACCCCUUGAAUGUGGCUGCAGGUGGCUGAAACGUGGCUUUUGUUAAAGCACUGCUUGAAGAUUAUUUCUGUCGUUAACACCUCAGCCCUCUCAGCUGUUUCUGUGCUUGUUCUGCUCCAGCUGUGUGGUCCAUAUUGGAGCCAUGCACUGGGCAAAUGGUGGCACACACUGGAGCAGCUCUUGUCUGCUCAGGGUCACCUUCAGUUGUUUAGACCACUGACUGUUUUGAGGGAUAUACAGGCUGCCCUGACUUGUGUAUUUACAACGUGAGUUUCUGCAAGUAGAAGGGAAAUAGUGUGAGAAGGGAUGCUGUGGCUCUGAAAAAGGGGAGGACACAGGGGGUACAAGCCAAGUCUGAGAUGCAGAGUGAGGUGUCUACAGCUGCUGAGUGCCACAGCAGGAACCUGGAUCCUGGGUUAAGUAAAUUCAGUAUUGGCUUCACUCUUGUUUUCUGGAUUUUGUUUCUUGACUUUGCAAGGCCUUUCCAGUACAGUUACAUUCCUACCCCAGCAACCAGUUCUCACGAGGCUGAGGAAGCCACGGUUACCCAACGUGCCCAGGUGAAACACAGAGAACAAGGUUGGAAACCCUCUGGCUUAGGCUGGUAGAGCUGAAUUGCUGUCAGCAGCAGAGGGAAACCUCUCCAGAGUGGUCUCAAGUACAGAAUACCACAGGGAGCCAUCCUUUUUCUUCUCAAUGUCCUGAAGAACAGAUGGAUCUGACAUGUUUAUUGCCGAAAGCUGUCUUGUUUUAUCAGCACAUCAGAUCUAGGUACUUGACAGAUGUG